rnacentral:rRNA from 1 species
GACGAACGCUGGCGGCGUGCUUAACACAUGCAAGUCGAACGCUGAAGCUUGGUGCUUGCUCUGGGUGGAUGAGUGGCGAACGGGUGAGUAAUACGUGAGUAACCUGCCCUUGACUCUGGGAUAAGCCUGGGAAACUGGGUCCAAUACUGGAUACGACAUGUCACCGCAUGGUGGUGUGUGGAAAGGGUUUUACUGGUUUUGGAUGGGCUCACGGCCUAUCAGCUUGUUGGUGGGGUAAUGGCUCACCAAGGCGACGACGGGUAGCCGGCCUGAGAGGGUGACCGGCCACACUGGGACUGAGACACGGCCCAGACGCCUACGGGAGGCAGCAGUGGGGAAUAUUGCACAAUGGGCGGAAGCCUGAUGCAGCGACGCCGCGUGAGGGAUGACGGCCUUCGGGUUGUAAACCUCUUUCAGCACGGAAGAAGCGAAAGUGACGGUACGUGCAGAAGAAGCGCCGGCUAACUACGUG